rnacentral:lncRNA from 1 species
ACAAACCUGUUAGGAUUCUGAACCACCAAGGAAUUGCAGCCUCUGUAUCUGUCUCUCCCUCUCUGCCUUGGGCUCAGGGUUCUAAUAAAACAAAUGUCAGACACAGAAGAAGUGGAGGAAGUGCAGGAGGAAGAAGGUUCCCUUGUGUCAAGCAUGGUCUACCACCCUAAGGACAUCCAGCCAACUUGACACAACUGUGGGAAGUAUUGCCGUCAACACGGUCCAGCAUGCCUGUGGAACGCUUUCGACACCUUGUACAGUCCAUCAUGCCCCCAACGAAUUGAGACUGUUCCGAGGGCACUCAGGGUAUGUUGCCCUUAUCAUGACUUAAAUUGCAUUGCAUUGGGUCAUUCCACAUACUGUUUAAUUUUCCGGGGGAAAAUGCACCGACGCUGCCCAAAUGCUCUUUCUAAACGUUAAUACACCUCGCUUGCAAUACGGUUUCGGAAAUAUUUGGAACUUAACCUUCAUAUAUAUUUUAAUAAAAUACAAAAUAUACACUUACUGUACGCAUUUUAGCGAAGUUGCACCUGGGUGUGUUUUGAGUAACACCUGCUUCAGGGCAGAAAUGUGGAAUAGAAUGGUCCAAUGGAAAUGCAAGCGCAAGGUGAGAGGACAUGUUGUAGCCUGCUUCGGCUGGAUGGUGUGAGAAAACACAGCCAUGUGCAACUUUGCAAAACUGAGUACAGGAAGUGUAUUUUAGUAUUUGAAAGAUUAUUUAUUGCGGAUAUGAACGUUACAAAGGUUUGCAUAACUGUAUAGCAAGCAAGCAUUAUUAACAUUUCUAAACGUUAGAACAGCGGGUCGUGGAUUGUAGUUCACAUGUAGCCAGCUGUGCUUCAUACCUUCAGUUGAUAACCCUAGGGCUGGGUAGGCUCCCCUUGGCUUCUUGAGAGCUAGUGUAUAUGCAAAUGCGACUCUAUAUAAUGGAUAUUUUAUUACUUAAUUAUACUUUUAUGACCCCAUGCAGUAAAACUAAAGGACUUUUCUAUCCCAGUUAACAUUGUCACGUCCUGACCAGUAUAGGGGUUAUUUGUAUUUGUAGGUUGGUCAGGACGUGGCAGAGGGUAUUUGUUUUAUGUGGUUCGGGGGUUAUGAGUAUUGUAGAGGGGUGUUUUAUUUAUGUAUUACGAGGUUUUGGUGUAUGUUCUGGGUUUUGUAUUCUAGGUUUUCUAGUUUGUUUAUUUCUGUGGUCUGUGUGGCUCCCGAUCAGGAACAGCUGUAAGUCGUUGUUCCUGAUUGGGAGUCAUAUAUUUGUUGCGUGUUUUCACCUGGGGAUUUGUGGGUAGUUGAUUUUGCACUGUUUGUUAUUAUAGCCUGUAAAACGGUUCCUGUCGUUUCUUUGUUUAUUGUUUUGCCGUGUUCACAUUUUAAUAAAUAAUAAUAAUAAUAAUGAUGAGCACGCAACCCGCUGCGCCUUGGCCCUCUCUACAUAACGACAUCUGUGACAAACAUACAAAAUGUUCUAAGCAUUAUUAUAAUUUUUUAUGAUAUCAUCAAGCUAAGAGUCACUGAGAGUCAAGCUAAGAGAGUCCAGAUGGAUCUAAGCCUAAACCAAAGUAAGUUUUUAAUUUACCACAAAAUCAUGAGAUUCGAUUUGACAUAUUAUGACUUACUUGAUUAAAGUCUUAAGACCUUGGCUCCUAUAAGGAGCAUAGGUUGUUGAAGGUCCUCCAUCUCACUCUGUUCAGGGCAA